rnacentral:lncRNA from 1 species
AGGGAGAGAUCGAGAUCCAGAAAGAGGCACACGGAAAGUACGAGGUCCAGGGGAGCAUAGCUGGAGAGUCGCAGCCCCCACCCCUGCCCGCGGCCGAGGCCAAGGCCGAUUCCAGUUUCAGUGAACGAGUGGGGUAUUCUGCUAACUGAACGAGUGGGGCUCAGCCGAGAGCAGACAGGGACCUCUCCUCCGGGUGGGAGAGCACCUGGUGGACGGUGUUUCCGAGCACCUUCUGAAAUUACUACUCGCACCUUUCCUGGGACACUUUUUAAAAGGACCAGCAAGCCUCCAGUUGACGUGGCUAGAAUCCCAGAUUCAUGGAGCUGUUGCAGAGCACAUCUCAGUGGUCUCCCUAAGUCUGGAACAGCUGAGCAUCACACACCAGAGGGACAUCGGACUUAAAAAAAACAAAAACAAAAACUGCAGCGUUUGGAUCUUUUCCUGCCUUAAAAGCAAGAAAAAUGGAAAAUUGAUAAUCAAAGG